AACACACCCGUCCACUCCCCAAUCCCCCUCCCCCUCUCUCUACCCGAUUGCACCGUUGCCCCCGACCUAAACCUAACUCAACUGCGCCACCGCCCCUGAUCUGCGUGCCGCCGCCCGUCCUCUGGUCCCCUCGUGCCACAUCAUCUCCGACCCUGGCCUCCCUCCCCGCAGGGCACCAUCCGCCCGGGAGCAGCAGCUCCGUCCGCCACGCCGAGGAGCAGCAGCGCCGUCAACCGCCGCUGAGGAUCCACUGCUGAUUUGUCUCCACGUGCGACCUCUGUUUCAUCUGAUUUCCUUCGCUCCGCCCCGCCUACAGAAUUCAAGAUGUAAGCUUCUGGUGGUGGAGGCAAGUCAAGAUUUUACGCCGGUUCUGUUACAGGAACAGAGGAUAGUCCUCCUAAGCUGCUUAAUGGUAGAGUUGGAAUCCCUCUAGUCCAGCUCCAGGCAGGAGGUCGGUUGGAACUGGAUCAGUAUCGAGAUUAGGAAUCAACCAAGUCGCCCUUUUGAUCAACUACAACAGCAGAACAAACAAUGGUGGGAAAAUGGUAGAAAGUAGCAAGUCCACUAGUUGAUCGAAGAUGUAUCUUGAUAAUAUGGAUGACACAUUUUGUUCAUAUGGAAGUUGAUUUGGCUUGGCGAUUGAAGAUUUGGUCCCUUGGUCUCUUUUGAACUUUGGCCAUUAUGUUUGUAACAUGCCUCUCUUGUAUAUCCGACUUGUGUAUUUCCAUAAUGGUUGUAGCUAACUUGAGUGAAGAAAACUAUUGAAUCUUAUAUAGAUAUUAAAAUUAAUGCAUUGAUCAAUGAUAUCUUGUGAUGAAUAGAAGAGUUCAAUUGUUUGUA